AGCCACUGGAAAAACAUAAAAAAGUAUUGUAGAGGCUCAAUUUGGCCCGGGCCCAAAUAAGAUAACAACCAAAAAUAAAAAUAAUAUACAGAUGAGUCCAUUAAUAGUCUAAUUUUACAAACCCAAAAUACAAGCCCAAAUACAAAGAGAAGCCCAGUGGCCCAAAUCUUAAAACUAAGAUAAGAAACCCUAGUUGCCCUAGCCCCUUGCCACGCCACUCCUCGACAUGUCAGCUGACGCGGUGCCCGAGACUUCUGCCCCUUUCACCAAAACGGUAACAGCCCUAGCCCCGUUGACUUCCACUGCCCUUGCAAGAAGAGAAAAAAAAGAAAAAAGAAAAAAGGCACAAGAGCAAGCAAUUAAAAGCAAAAAAUAAACAAAAAUAUUGUAAUAUAUUCGGUUAUAAAGACCAAAAACUAUCGUAACAAAGGGGGGAUUGAAUAGAAAAAUUGAAUACAAACGUUAAGCAAAAAGAAGGUGAUUCAUUUUGUUUUUUGUUUUUAGAUUAGAAAAAGCAUAAUAAGUAAAUAUAAAGUUUUUUU
rnacentral:lncRNA from 1 species